rnacentral:lncRNA from 1 species
CCGUCUUCUCCUCCGCCUCCAUUGUUUCUCCUCGGCUGCUCUCCAUGCCCUAGGCGGCACUCCCAUUCAUGGCCGGUGACCCGUCUUCUCCUCUGCCUCCAUUGUUCCUCCUCCGCUGCUCUCCAUGCCCUAGGCGGCGCUCCCAUUCAUGGCCGACGAGCAGAAGCUUCAGCCUCCGUCGCGCCCCGAGGUACUCCGUCGCCGCGCGCCCAGCCGGCUCCCUUUUCCUCUUUGUUCUCCGCUGCAGGUCACCGGCCAUCCGUGCUGCAACCCAAUCUCUUCUCAAUCCCGCCCCUGUCAAAUCUUUAAAUCUCCUCUUAUUUCAACUUUUCAUAUCCAGGACCGUAGUGAUGAUCUCAGGUAAGCCAUGUGUGUUUCUAUUUUCCAUUAGAUUGAUGUGCCUCUUUGAUCUAGAAAAAGAUGCCGGAUCUGGGUGUUCUUUUGAUCUGAAAAAGGUUGCAUCACAAUAGCAUUAAUAAUUUGUGUUUUUGCGGGGAUUAGUAAUUUGUGUUUUAGGUCUCUAUCUAGGCUUUUGAUUUUUGUUGUAACAUUAGUAUUUUUUCUCACUAUGUAUAUUUAUCAAACUCGCAUUGUUAUUCUUGGAGUUCCAUGUAUACAGAUCUCCUUUUUGUAUUUCAUUGCAAUGUUAUGAUCAGUGAUGCAAACCAAUUUCUCCUCAUCCAACCAUUAGAAUUCUUCUUAUUUCAAGUUUUUAAAUAUAGAUGGUUGAUGCAUCAUAUGAGGAGGUGUAGUACGCAUGAUGUUUUCAAGAAAGGAGGCCCCGGUUGGUACUUGAGGCCGUCAAGUUGAGGAAUUACGUUGGACUGGUGGCACCGCAACUUACAAUCGAAGCCCUACUCGAGUCCGUCUCCCGUUAUUCCUGCCCCACUCCACUGGUAAAUCACCCUGCAUUGUUAAAUCCCUACUCCUCCAUCCGUUUAAUUCAUAGAACCCAUAACAAGUCGGCUUAAUCCAUCACAUCUCAUCAACAACAACAGGCCUUUUUUUCUAUCUAUCUUCAUCACUUCUCUACGUCAGAUUAUACAUUUGGGUGAGUGGGUGAGAACCAGCUAGAAUGUGAUCUCGCCUAAAGUGGCACCAUGCAGCAAGUUUCUGUUAAACUACAUCCACAUCAACUGUCAACCAGCCAAUUUACAUUAACUGUUUACACAGGAAGCUUUACACAUGUCUUCCCGUGCGACCAUUUGUUAGACAACAAAAAUAGUUGACGAUUCCUAUGGAAUGAACUUCGACGUUGUAUGUUAUUUCUCCCGAGUAAACGCUAAUUGUUAGAUUAUCGCAUGGUAGUGGUAUAUAUAUAUAUCUAUUAAUUCUCUCUUCUGGGAUUACAAAAGGCUAAGUUGACAUUUUAAGUUUUACAAACUUCCUAGAUUUCUCAAAAUGAUUUCCAAUAAUGUGUAUAAUCUAUCUUUGGCAGAUCUGCAGUAAGAUUUUCAAAUUGUUGCCCAUGCAAAAUUAAGCUAGAUGUAUGGCGUACUUGAGUUAUAUAAAUUCUAUUUACAGCACAUACACGUACUGUUUUUGAAAAGGGAUCCAAAUCUAUGUUUUUAUUAUUAUUAAACACCCAUAUGAAAUUUCCCUGCAAAUGUAACCAUGGAAUCCAUAUUUCCUAGGUUCGUUCGUGAUAAUAUGCUAUUUCUUUUGGAGUUCCAGUGUUUAGAUUUUAGAGAUGCUAACUUAUACAAAAAUAUGUAUCAGUGUGCCCUAUUAGUGAUUUGCAUAUUUAGAGCGGGGAGGUAUAUACAUUGAUAAUGAUCCGAAUAUUGUCAGCUAAAUAUGUUUUUAUGAAACUAACAGAUUUAUGUGUUCCAUUGUGCGCAGCACAAUGUUUAGUGUACAUGCGUGACACUAUAUCUACUUUUCCAAAUAGUACUCUAGACUAGGAACUGUAAAAACAAUAUGUGAGAAAACUUAAUCACUACCAUACUAUUUUUAAGUAGGUUGCAAAUAGGAUAUAUAGUCCUUAUAUGACUUUAACUACCUCCAAUUCACGUCAUUGAUCACAUUGUAACUGUUCCUGCUGCUGCAGGUUCGACUUCAAUUUUUGCUUCUGUACGUAUAGUGUUGGUUCGCUUCUCCAUAGCUUUCUACCUCCCGGAAUCCAUCUUCCUAUUGCCACAUAAUUACAUCAUUUGUUUUUGGGAAAUCAAUGUAUAGAUACAUUGUUUCCCUCUGCAGUGCACAUGCUCUUAUAUUUGUUUUUGGACUGAUUCUUCGAUUGAUUUCAUGCUAUGAUUGGAUAACUAGAUUAUCUAAUUUCAAAUUCUCCAGUCUUUUGUAUGUUCACUUGCAUAGACGGCUUAAUCAGUUAAUCUAGAACCUAAACUGAAGACAAAAUAGAGCACAUAUACUUGGUCAUUUCUCCUAAGAAGAUUAAUCCACCUUGACUUUAACUUGACUUCCAAAGAAGUUCUGAAUGAUCAAGCAUUUUUUUUGGUUUUUAGUAAACUAAAAUAAUGUUGCACUCUGACAAUAAUAUUCUGAUUUUCUAAGUUAACAGAAAUCUUUCAAUUUCAUACCAGUUUUUUUAAUCGUGCAUUUGAAUGAUGGCGAUAUUAUCUAUUCUCUGAAUUCUGCUUGCAUGUUUCGAGUUGAAACAGUAACUGAAAUUGAUAAGUAUGCAACGAUUUAUGUCCUCCAGCAUGAGUAAAAUGUUGUGGGUUACCAUUUCAGAUAAGUAACCACUUUUAUUUUCUUUGUCUAUAAUUGACAUGUAUACAUGUUGUCGCUCUGCUUGAACCAUCCAUCUCCACAUUACGCCCGAGACUUCCAUCGCAAUAAUCUAUAUGUAUCCAGGUAGUGUCCAAUAUGUAUACACAAGCUCCUCUCACAGGCCGACUUUGCUGAUUGUGACUGAGCGUGUGUGUGUGGCCGUGAUGUAAGCUUUAUCUUGGCCUGAGUAUCAGUUCCCUUUUAUGAUACAAUUUUGGAUGCUAUUUUAUUCUACAUGUAUAGGUUUCUACAGGUCCCAUUGGCUGCUACCUUUUAGUGAUACGACAGCUGAAUGGCAUGCUCACCAGUAGUUCUGUCAAAAUGAAAUCGACUGGACUGCAUUUUCUAUGUGUGUUACUAAGUACAAGCUGUGAUUAUUUUCUUUCUAAGGAUAGAAAUUUUCUAGGCAUUAAGCUUUUUGAGACGUUAAGGUCUCUCAUAAUUAAUUAGCCCUUGUAAGGUGUAUACUGACAGUAAGCCCAUUGCAGUAAUUGGUUGGAUAAUUCUUUGACAUGUUUUAUUCAAAUGUCUGCUUAAAUUAGUGUCAGAUUCCCCCUUCAUCGAUUACUUUUUUGGAUAUGAAUUAUUACCAUAAGAAGUGCUCCCUCUGUAAAGAAAUAUAACAGUGUUUAGAUUACUACUUUAGUUAUCUAAACGCUCUUAUAUUUCUUUAUGGAGGGAGUAUAUUGGUUCUUCAGUGUUUCAUUCUGACAGUACACAAACUAUAUUGUUUUACGUUGGUCAUUUCUCACUCUGCAGUCUGUAUCUUUUGCUUCAUAAUUCAUCUGUACACAAGAUUGAUGCCCAGAAGUUUCAGCCUUCCGUGCUAAAUGCCAUUCUUUUUUGACUUGAUAAACACCAGGUAACAUGGAGUCUUCUCAUUUGUAAUGGCAUAGAUAUAGGAACGAGCAAUUCAACUUUUCUUUAAGAAAGCGACACACAAAGGAGAACUAGAUAUUGUUGUUGAGAGCUAGCUCUGGCCACAUGAUCAUCUAUGUAUAUAGUUUUCAACAAAAGAGAACUGGAUUAUUGUUACUGAGGGCUAGCUCUGGCCGCAUGGUCAUCCAUGUAUAUAGUUUUCAACAAUAAAUGUGUCCUGAUUGGUACAGCAUAAUUUGCAAUCUUAGUUUCUUCUGAUCUCAUAAUUUGAAGAUGAACUGGAGAGGGGAAUGUGUACUAUGUUUGGAAUCCGUCACACUAAAUGUGUAUUUGUGGUAUUGAUGUACAGUUAUUAAGAAAGUUACACUUUCCAGCUAUUGUUCUACUGAGAGGAUGCAUGGCUGAAAAUUGCUCUAGCUGGAAGUUUAUGUCUUUGUGAAUGAAGACUAGAGGCGCUGACUUGUAGCCACUCGAACACUGCCAUUGGGGAAAAUAUUGCUUAUUGAUCCAGUCUAGCUAUUGCUAGAAUACCAAUUUUCGUACACUGCAUAAUACCCAUUACUAAUUGAAUGUUGAUUCUGACAACCUUAAUACAUCCACGAUGGUGGAGGC